AUCAGACCUAGCCGGAGCUGGAUUAAAAAAUGCUCGACGCAGGCAUGGAGGUGCUGGCGAUUUGCUCCAAAUCUGUGCAAUGGACGGCACCAUGUUAUUCAAUUUUUAAUAGCCCUUUGUGUAAUCUGCCCGCUCAUCCAGGCUACCACGUCAUGCAAUGCUUAUUGAUCGCUUCAAGCCCCAGGCCGCCAAAGCACGGUGGCCGCCAAAGCACGGCCGCCAAAGUGUUGUGUAGUGUGUUUAGUGAAA